rnacentral:rRNA from 1 species
AUUGAACGCUGGCGGCAGGCCUAACACAUGCAAGUCGAGCGAGUGGCGGACGGGUGAGUAAUGUCUGGGAAUCUGCCCGAUGGAGGGGGAUAACUACUGGAAACGGUGGCUAAUACCGCAUACUAUCGGAUGAACCCAGAUGGGAUUAGCUAGUAGGUGGGGUAAAGGCUCACCUAGGCGACGAUCCCUAGCUGGUCUGAGAGGAUGAUCAGCCACACUGUGACUGAGACACGGCCCAGACGCCUACGGGAGGCAGCAGUGGGGAAGAUUGCACAAUGGGCGCAAGCCUGAUGCAGCCAUGCCUCGUGUAUGAAGAAGGCCUUAGGGUUGUAAAGUACUUUCAGCGGGGAGGCGUUACCCGCAGAAGAAGCACCGGCUAACUCCGUGCCAGCAGCCGCGGUAAUAC